ACUUACAACAAGGGGUGCCGUUGAAAACGGCUGAGAUUAGACCCUAAGAACCUGCACUCAGUUAGUACUAGCGAAGGGAUAGUUGUGGAAUCCACGG
rfam:Corynebacterium striatum ATCC 6940 genomic scaffold SCAFFOLD10, whole genome shotgun sequence.